rnacentral:rRNA from 1 species
GUUAAAAAGCUCGUAGUUGGAUUUCUGUGGGGACGGAGCGGCCGGCCGCACAUCGCGGUUCGAGCUAGCGCUUUCCCUACAUCCUGCCGCGAACCGUGCUACCAUUAGUUUGGUGGCGCUGGGGAUCGGCUCGAUUACUUUGAGAAAAAUAGAGUGUUCAAAGCAGGCCACACGCCUUGAAUAAGUUAGCAUGGAAUAAUAACUAAGGACUUCGGUUCUAUUUUGUUGGUGUUCGGGACUGAAGUAAUGAUUGAUAGGGACAGUUGGGGCGGUCAGUAUUCCAAAGCGAGAGGUGAAAUUCUUAGACCUUCGGAAGACUAACAGCUGCGAAAGCGUUCCGCAAGGAUGUUCCCUUUGAUCAAGAACGAAAGUUGGGGGAUCGAAGACGAUCAGAUACCGUCGUAGUCUCAACUAUAAACUAUACCAGCUAGGGAUCGGCCGACGUUUACUUAUAUCGACUCGGUCGGCACCUUAUGAGAAAUCAAAGCAUCUGGGUUCCGGGGGGAGUAUGGUCGCAAGGCUGAAACUUAAAGGA